GUUCGCCGCCUUAGUUCUCGAUGCGCCUUUGUACGUCGCACGUUGGAUAGCACUUUUUCCGGAUGUAUGCUUUGCCGAUUGGAUUGAUAAAAGAUGGGCCGAGGCUUCCAUUUAAGAACAAACUUCAAUUUGGCUCUACCACCAUCAGUGCUUGGCUGGCGCCUGCCAAAUGAAUCAUCGCAGAUUUGCUUGCCUGUGUCUACAAGAACCUUCAUGCGUGACCUGCGACAGAAAGCAUUUGUGGGCAGCCCGUGCUCUCCUACAAAGACUGGCCUGCUGUGGCUGUGACAGCAAUCAUCUUGAAGAUCUAUGCAAGGCCACCUUUGCUGCUAUUUGUCACUCUUUUUAAUUACACUUUCUGCAUCUUUUCUCAUUUAUUACGUAAUAAAGAUUGUGUGACAUGGUGUAAAGUAGAUGUCUUGCAGCAUUUUGCCUUGCAGUCAUGUUCU